CCUACGGUGUGCUGCAGUGAGGAAUAUUGGUCAAUGGGCGUAAGCCUGAACCAGCCAAGUCGCGUGAGGGAUGAAGGUUCUAUGGAUCGUAAACCUCUUUUAUAAGGGAAUAAAGUGUGGGACGUGUCCUAUUUUGUAUGUACCUUAUGAAUAAGGAUCGGCUAACUCCGUGCCAGCAGCCGCGGUAAUACGGAGGAUCCGAGCGUUAUCCGGAUUUAUUGGGUUUAAAGGGUGCGUAGGCGGCCUUUUAAGUCAGCGGUGAAAGUCUGUGGCUCAACCAUAGAAUUGCCGUUGAAACUGGGGGGCUUGAGUAUGUGUGAGGCAGGCGGAAUGCGUGGGGUAGCGGUGAAAUGCUUAGAUAUCACGCAGAACCCCGAGUGCGAAGGCAGCCUGCCAAGCCAUGACUGACGCUGAUGCACGAAAGCGUGGGGAUCAAACAGGAUUAGAUACCCCAGUAGUC
rnacentral:rRNA from 1 species